rnacentral:rRNA from 1 species
AGUGGAUGGGGAGCAACCUAGUUGUGCGUGUGUAAAGGUAGUGCCAAGAAAAGCGAUGAUCAUGUUGAAAAUCAAUUCCCGGUACCCGAAACCGACACAGGUGGGCAAGUAGAGAAUACUAAGGGGCGCGAGGUAACUCUCUCCAAGGAACUCGGCAAAAUGACCCCGUAACUUAGGGAGAAGGGGUGCCACCGAGAGGUGGUCGCAGUGAAGAGGCCCAGGCGACUGUUUAGCAAAAACAUAGGUCUCUGCAAACUCGAAAGAGGAGGUAUAGGGGCUGACGCCUGCCCAGUGCCGGAAGGUUAAAGAAGUUGGUCAGUCUUAGGAUGAAGCUAGCGACUGAAGCCCCGGUGAACGGCGGCCGUAACUAUAACGGUCCUAAGGUAGCGAAAUUCCUUGUCGGGUAGUUCCGACCCGCACGAAAGGCGUAACGAUCUGGGCGCUGUCUCGGAGAGAGGCUCGGCGAAAUAGGAUUGUCUGUGAAGAUACGGACUACCUGCAUUUGGACAGAAAGACCCUAUGAAGCUUUACUAUAGCUUGGAAUUGUGUUCGGGCUUCCUGUGCGCAGGAUAGGUGGGAGGCGUAGAAGGUAUUCUUGUGGGGAUACUGGAGCCAACGGUGAGAUACCACUCUCAGGAGGCUAGAAUUCUAACUUAAUUAAGGACAGUUUCAGGUGGGUAGUUUGACUGGGGCGGUCGCCUCCAAAAAGGUAACGGAGGCGUACAAAGGUUCCCUCAGACUGGUUGGAAAUCAGUCGAAGAGUGCAAAGGCAGAAGGGAGCUUGACUGCGAGAAGUACAGUUCGAGCAGGGUGGAAACACGGUCUUAGUGAUCCGACGGUGCUGUGUGGAAGGGCCGUCGCUCAACGGAUAAAAGUUACUCUAGGAUAACAGGCUGAUCUCCCCCAAGAGUUCACAUCGACGGGGAGGUUUGGCACCUCGAUGUCGGCUCAUCGCAACCUGGGGCGGAAGUACGUCCCAAGGGUUGGGCUGUUCGCCCAUUAAAGCGGUACGUGAGCUGGGUUCAGAACGUCGUGAGACAGUUCGGUCCAUAUCCGAUGUAGGCGUGAGAAUAUUGAGAGGAGCCUUCCUUAGUACGAGAGGACCGGGAAGGACGCACCGCUGGUGUACCUGUUAUGAUGCCAAUUGUAAACGCAGGGUAGCCAAGUGCGGAGAGGAUAACCGCUGAAAGCAUCUAAGUGGGAAGCCCACCUCAAGAUGAGUAUUCUGGUGUAAGGUCACGGGAAGACGACCCGUAAAUAGGCACGAGGUGUAAGUGCAGAGAUGUAUGAAGCCGAAGUGUACUAAUAGACCGUCGGCUUGAC